AUUGAACGGUGGCGGCCGGCCUAACACAGGCAAGUCGAGCGGAUGAAGCAGGAUAGCUCCUGCAUUCAGCGGCGGACGGGAGCGCAAUGCCCAGGAAUCUGCCUCUGAGGGGGGGAUAACGUCCGAAAACGGGCGCUAAUACCGCAGACGCCCCGUGGGAGACAGUGGGGGCUGUUCGGACCUCGCGCUUUCAGAUGAGCCGCGGGGGGAUUAGGUAGGUGGGGUGGUAACGGCGUACCAAGGCGACGCUCCGUAACUGGUCUGAGAGGACGACCAGGCCCACUGAAACUUAGACGCGCUCCAGCCUCCUACGGGCGGCAGCAGUGCGCAAUAUUGGGCAAUGGGCGACAGCCUGCUACAGCCACGCCGCGUGUGUGAAGAAGGUCUUCGGAUUUCAAGCACUUUCAGUGGGGAGGAAGGGCAGUAAGUUAAUACCUUGCUGUUUUGUCGUUACCAACAGAGUAAGCACCGGCUCACUUCGUG
rnacentral:rRNA from 1 species